CUGAGAGGAUGACCAGCCACACUGGAACUGAGACACGGUCCAGACUCCUACGGGAGGCAGCAGUGGGGAAUAUUGCACAAUGGGCGCAAGCCUGAUGCAGCCAUGCCGCGUGUAUGAAGAAGGCCUUCGGGUUGUAAAGUACUUUCAGCGGGGAGGAAGGGAGUAAAGUUAAUACCUUUGCUCAUUGACGUUACCCGCAGAAGAAGCACCGGCUAACUCCGUGCCAGCAGCCGCGGUAAUACGGAGGGUGCAAGCGUUAAUCGGAAUUACUGGGCGUAAAGCGCACGCAGGCGGUUUGUUAAGUCAGAUGUGAAAUCCCCGGGCUCAACCUGGGAACUGCAUCUGAUACUGGCAAGCUUGAGUCUCGUAGAGGGGGGUAGAAUUCCAGGUGUAGCGGUGAAAUGCGUAGAGAUCUGGAGGAAUACCGGUGGCGAAGGCGGC
rnacentral:rRNA from 1 species